rnacentral:lncRNA from 1 species
UUAAAGCCGCGAAGGAGCAGCCAUUGCCAGCUACGGCACAUUCUUCUACCGUAGUUGAUGUUUCUCACUGCUUUGAACCCCCAAGAUUCCACGGACUGCGGCUGCAGCCGUUUCAUUGCCAGCUGUGAGGAUGUAGCAGCUUCAUAGCCGGAGAUCGGACGCCUCCCAUCAGUUUCCCUUUUCAGCAAUAGAGGCCUUUGAUGCCUUUCUACCUGCGUUGCAUCCUGUGGCUGACCACUCCAACGAUCUCUGCAGAAUCGUUACACAGGAAGAAGUCCGGCUGGCCCCAAGCCUGGUGCGAAAUGAAGAAAUGGCACUCCACAUCAAUUCAUGUUUACUUGUCGUCAUAGCCAGUCUGUUAGCUUAAUUUUUGGUUCUUCCUAUUGAAU